CACGUAGGCGGCUGGUUCAGUCAGAUGUGAAAGCCCUCGGCUUAACCGAGGAAUUGCGUUUGAUACUGGCCGGCUUGAGUGGAGAAGGGGAGAGCGGAACUUCUGGUGUAGCGGUGAUAUGCGUAGAUAUCAGAAGGAACGCCGGUGGCGAAAGCGGCUCUCUGGUCUCUUACUGACGCUGAGGUGCGAAAGCCAGGGGAGCGAACG
rnacentral:rRNA from 1 species